AUGGCGGCGGGCAGGACGGACCGAGCUACAGCAGCGGCCGCGCGAGGAAGUGAGGUCUCUGGCGAAGGCGGGAAGCGCUGCCCCUCCCCCCCGCCGCCGCUCCCCUAUCACCCUCGCACAGAAACUCCCGCACACUCACACACCUCUGCUCAGGAGUCCAGGAAGAGCAGGAGCCGCCCCCGCGCUCCUACGGAGUCGGGCAAUGCAGAGGCCCAGGCGCGGCGGAGGGGAGGGGGAAGUGUGCGUCACGGAGAACGGAGCGCGCGCGAAGCGGGGGCACAAGCAAGAUGGCGGCCACGCCGUUUGCACCGUUUCCCCUUUUCCCUUCCCCCUCCCCUGGCGCCUGGACUCCCAGUAUCGUGCAGUACGCAGAAGCUGUGCUCCUUGA